rnacentral:rRNA from 1 species
GACGAACGCUGGCGGCGUGCUUAACACAUGCAAGUCGAACGAAGCGCGAUGGUCGCUUGCUUCUAUCAAUCUUAGUGGCGAACGGGUGAGUAACGCGUAAUCAACCUGCCCUCCAGAGGGGGACAACAGUUGGAAACGACUGCUAAUCCCGCGUACUAUCUCAUCUCGAUGUCGAGGAUAGAUGAAAGGUGGCUUCUACAUGUAAGCUAUAACUGGAGGACGGUCUUGCGUCUGAUUAGCUAGUUGGGGGGGUAACCGGUCACUGAGGCGAGGAUCAGUAGCCGGUCUGAGAGGAUGAGCGGCCACAUUGGGCUGGAGAGACGGCCCAGACUCCUACGGGAGGCAGCCGGGCGGAAUCCUCAGGGAUGGACGAAGGUCGGACUGAGGAACGCCGCGUGAGUGAUGACGGCAUUCGGGCUGUGUAGGUGUGUUAGUCGGGAGGAAAGGACUUCUCGCUAAUAGUGGGAAGGAUUGACGGUACCGGGAUAGAAAGCCACGGCUAACUACGUG